GCAAACGCUUCCGAUGUGAGCCAUUUCGGAUACUUCCAGAGGUCCAGCGUCAAAGAAUUCACAGUUUUUGUCGGUCGGACCGUCGCCAAACGCACCUCUCCCGGCCAACGCCAGUCCGUCCAGCACGAAGAGUACAAGGUUCAUUCUUACAGCUGUAAUGGCCUUUGUGCGGUGGGGUUUAUGGAUGAUCACUAUCCUGUACGAAGUGCUUUUUCCCUUCUGAAUCAGGUGCUAGAUGAGUAUCAGAAGAAUUUUGGUGAUUCAUGGAGGACUG
rnacentral:misc_RNA from 1 species